AUUGAACGCUGGCGGCAUGCCUUACACAUGCAAGUCGAACGGCAGCACGGGAGCAAUCCUGGUGGCGAGUGGCGAACGGGUGAGUAAUACAUCGGAACGUGCCCAAUCGUGGGGGAUAACGCAGCGAAAGCUGUGCUAAUACCGCAUGAGAUCUACGGAUGAGAGCAGGGGACCGCAAGGCCUUGCGCGAAUGGAGCGGCCGAUGGCAGAUUAGGUAGUUGGUGAGGUAAAGGCUCACCAAGCCUGCGAUCUGUAGCUGGUCUGAGAGGACGACCAGCCACACUGGGACUGAGACACGGCCCAGACUCCUACGGGAGGCAGCAGUGGGGAAUUUUGGACAAUGGGCGCAAGCCUGAUCCAGCCAUGCCGCGUGCAGGAUGAAGGCCUUCGGGUUGUAAACUGCUUUUGUACGGAACGAAAAGGCUUUCUCUAAUAAAGGGGGCUCAUGACGGUACCGUAAGAAUAAGCACCGGCUAACUACGUGCCAGCAGCCGCGGUAAUACGUAGGGUGCAAGCGUUAAUCGGAAUUACUGGGCGUAAAGCGUGCGCAGGCGGUGAUGUAAGACAGUUGUGAAAUCCCCGGGCUCAACCUGGGAACUGCAUCUGUGACUGCAUCGCUGGAGUGCGGCAGAGGGGGAUGGAAUUCCGCGUGUAGCAGUGAAAUGCGUAGAUAUGCGGAGGAACACCGAUGGCGAAGGCAAUCCCCUGGGCCUGCACUGACGCUCAUGCACGAAAGCGUGGGGAGCAACAGGAUUAGAUACCCUGGUAGUCCACGCCCUAAACGAUGUCAACUGGUUGUUGGGUCUUCGCUGACUCAGUAACGAAGCUAACGCGUGAAGUUGACCGCCUGGGGAGUACGGCCGCA
rnacentral:rRNA from 1 species